rnacentral:rRNA from 1 species
UGGGGCUGAAGUAGGUCCCAAGGGUAUGGCUGUUCGCCAUUUAAAGUGGUACGCGAGCUGGGUUUAGAACGUCGUGAGACAGUUCGGUCCCUAUCUGCCGUGGGCGCUGGAGAACUGAGGGGGGCUGCUCCUAGUACGAGAGGACCGGAGUGGACGCAUCACUGGUGUUCGGGUUGUCAUGCCAAUGGCACUGCCCGGUAGCUAAAUGCGGAAGAGAUAAGUGCUGAAAGCAUCUAAGCACGAAACUUGCCCCGAGAUGAGUUCUCCCUGAGACUUUAGGUCUCCUGAAGGAACGUUGAAGACGACGACGUUGAUAGGCCGGGUGUGUAAGCGCAGCGAUGCGUUGAGCUAACCGGUACUAAUGAACCGUGAGGCUUAACCUUAC